rnacentral:rRNA from 1 species
GUGGGGAAUUUUGCGCAAUGGGGGAAACCCUGACGCAGCAACGCCGCGUGAGUGAAGAAGGGUUUCGGCUCGUAAAGCUCUGUUGUCGGGGACGAAUGUGCAGUAUUUGAAUAAAGUACUGCAAUGACGGUACCUGACGAGGAAGCCACGGCUAACUACGUGCCAGCAGCCGCGGUAAUACGUAGGUGGCAAGCGUUGUCCGGAAUUAUUGGGCGUAAAGGGAGCGCAGGCGGGAAGGUAAGUCGGUCUUAAAAGUGCGGGGCUCAACCCCGUGAUGGGAUCGAAACUAUCUUUCUUGAGUGCAGGAGAGGAAAGUGGAAUUCCUAGUGUAGCGGUGAAAUGCGUAGAUAUUAGGAGGAACACCAGUGGCGAAGGCGACUUUCUGGACUGUAACUGACGCUGAGGCUCGAAAGCCAGGGGAGCGAACGGGAUUAGAUACCCGUGUAGUCC